AAUCAUGGUAGUAAUCAUGAAAAGAAAAGGUUUUGCAAUGAUCUUAAUGAUUAUGUUAGUUGUAACACAAGUGGAAUGCAUAACUCCAUCUCAAGAAUUUGUGUCAAUUAAACAGAAAGGAUUCUGUGAAAGAAUAUACGAGAUUGUGUGAAAGAGAACUGCGAGGCUCCGGUGGAAACAAACAUUGUUAUGACCCUUACAUAAGCAAUGAAACAUGAAUUUGGAUUCCCUGCAGUACCUGAAAAAAGUCUUGCAGACGCCACAGAUUAUGUUUUAUUUUUUGAAAGGAUUCAUUAUAUGAUAGUGUAAAUAAGUUUAAUAAGAUUUGUGCAAUGUUGUGAUUACUUUGCACCAUGAAAACUGCAAUGCAACAUUUGUGAAAGCCAAAAUCGCAAAAUGCUUAACACGACCUGGACUGUUAUUUAAAACCUUGGUGACAAUAACAAUAAUGUUGUAAGUUUUGAGUCAAUUUCAACAACAGGGGCAAAUCCAUCAACAGUAAAAUCUUUGGUAACACUUCACAAAACUGCUUUUAAAUUUG